AUGAACGCUGGCGGCGUGCCUAAUACAUGCAAGUCGAGCGAACAGACGAGGAGCUUGCUCCUCUGACGUUAGCGGCGGACGGGUGAGUAACACGUGGAUAACCUACCUAUAAGACUGGGAUAACUUCGGGAAACCGGAGCUAAUACCGGAUAAUAUAUUGAACCGCAUGGUUCAAUAGUGAAAGACGGUUUUGCUGUCACUUAUAGAUGGAUCCGCGCCGCAUUAGCUAGUUGGUAAGGUAACGACUUACCAAGGCAACGAUGCGUAGCCGACCUGAGAGGGUGAUCGGCCACACUGGAACUGAGACACGGUCCAGACUCCUACGGGAGGCAGCAGUAGGGAAUCUUCCGCAAUGGGCGAAAGCUUGACGGAGCAACGCCGCGUGAGUGAUGAAGGUCUUCGGAUCGUAAAACUCUGUUAUUAGGGAAGAACAAAUGUGUAAGUAACUAUGCACGUCUUGACGGUACCUAAUCAGAAAGCCACGGCUAACUACGUG
rnacentral:rRNA from 1 species